UGAGGAAUAUUGGUCAAUGGACGAGAGUCUGAACCAGCCAAGUAGCGUGCAGGACGACGGCCCUAUGGGUUGUAAACUGCUUUUGUACGGGGAUAAAGUGAGCCACGUGUGGUUUAUUGCAGGUACCGUACGAAUAAGGACCGGCUAAUUCCGUGCCAGCAGCCGCGGUAAUACGGAAGGUCCGGGCGUUAUCUGGAUUUAUUGGGUUUAAAGGGAGCGUAGGCCGGAGAUUAAGCGUGUUGUGAAAUGUAGUGGCUCAACCUCUGCACUGCAGCGCGAACUGGUCUUCUUGAGUACGCACAACGUGGGCGGAAUUCGUGGUGUAGCGGUGAAAUGCUUAGAUAUCACGAAGAACUCCGAUUGCGAAGGCAGCUCACGGGAGCGCAACUGACGCUGAAGCUCGAAAGUGCGGGUAUCGAACAGGAUUAGAUACCCUGGUAGU
rnacentral:rRNA from 1 species